rnacentral:rRNA from 1 species
AGAUUGAACGCUGGCGGCAUGCCUUACACAUGCAAGUCGAACGGUAGAGUAGCAAUACUUGAGAGUGGCGAACGGGUGAGUAAUAUAAUCGGAACGUGCCCAGUCGUGGGGGAUAACGUAGAGAAAUUUACGCUAAUACCGCAUACGAUCUAAGGAUGAAAGCGGGGGACCGUAAGGCCUCGCGCGAUUGGAGCGGCUGAUAUCAGAUUAGGUUGUUGGUGAGGUAAAAGCUCACCAAGCCGACGAUCUGUAGCUGGUUUGAGAGAACGACCAGCCACACUGGGACUGAGACACGGCCAGACUCCUACGGGAGGCAGCAGGUGGGGAAUUUGGACAAGUGGGCGAAAGCCUGACUCCAGCAAGUGACCGCGUGACAGGAAGAAGGUCCGUUAGGGUUAGUAAACGUGUCGUUUAGUAACCGGAACGAAACGGUCGUGUACCGUUUAAUACGUAGU